UACGUAGGGUGCGAGCGUUGUCCGGAAUUACUGGGCGUAAAGAGCUCGUAGGUGGUUUGUCGCGUUGUUCGUGAAAACUCACAGCUCAACUGUGGGCGUGCGGGCGAUACGGGCAGACUGGAGUACUGCAGGGGAGACUGGAAUUCCUGGUGUAGCGGUGGAAUGCGCAGAUAUCAGGAGGAACACCGGUGGCGAAGGCGGGUCUCUGGGCAGUAAACUGACGCUGGAGGA
rnacentral:rRNA from 1 species